rnacentral:tRNA from 1 species
GAGGGUACAGCUCAAGUGGUAGAGUACAUGCUUGGCAUGCAUGAGGUCCUGGGUUCAAUCCCCGGUACCUCCU